GACGAACGCUGGCGGCGUGCUUAACACAUGCAAGUCGAACGGAAAGGCCCUGCUUUUGUGGGGUGCUCGAGUGGCGAACGGGUGAGUAACACGUGAGUAACCUGCCCUUGACUUUGGGAUAACUUCAGGAAACUGGGGCUAAUACCGGAUAGGAGCUCCUGCUGCAUGGUGGGGGUUGGAAAGUUUCGGCGGUUGGGGAUGGACUCGCGGCUUAUCAGCUUGUUGGUGGGGUAGUGGCUUACCAAGGCUUUGACGGGUAGCCGGCCUGAGAGGGUGACCGGCCACAUUGGGACUGAGAGACGGCCCAGACUCCUACGGGAGGCAGCAGUGGGGAAUAUUGCACAAUGGGGGGAAGCCUGAUGCAGCAACGCCGCGUGCGGGAUGACGGCCUUCGGGUUGUAAACCGCUUUCGCCGGUGACGAAGAGUGAGUGACGGUAAUGGGUAAAGAAGCACCGGCUAACUACGUG
rnacentral:rRNA from 1 species